UUCACCUUCUGCCAUGAGUGUAAAUUUCCUGAGGCCUCCCCAGUCAUGCUGAACUAAUCGUCAGCAUAUCCUCAUUCUUCUUGGACAUGGGACAAGAGGUCGAGAUCCACCAACACAGGU
rnacentral:lncRNA from 1 species